GGACCUGACUGCUAUCGGAUUGCUACUAAGCCAUGCGAGUCAUUGUAGCAAUACAAGGCAUACGGCUCAGUAACGCGUAGUCAACCUAACCUAUGGACGGGAAUAACCUUGGGAAACUGAGAAUAAUGCCCGAUAGAACAUUAUGCCUGGAAUGGUUUAUGUUCCAAAUGAUUUAUCGCCGUAGGAUGGGACUGCGGCCUAUCAGUUUGUUGGUGAGGUAAUGGCCCACCAAGACUAUUACAGGUACGGGCUCUGAGAGGAGUAGCCCGGAGAUGGGUACUGAGACACGGACCCAGGCCCUAUGGGGCGCAGCAGGCGAGAAAACUUUGCAAUGUGCGAAAGCACGACAAGGUUAAUCCGAGUGGUUUCUGCUAAAGAAACCUUUUGUCAGUCCUAGAAACACUGAUGAAUAAGGGGUGGGCAAGUUCUGGUGU
rnacentral:rRNA from 1 species